CAAGUUUAUGCUCAGAAGAGACACAAAGAUUUGCCUUCGUAUGACACCAUUCGGAAUGGUCCACCGCAUGCACCUCUGUUCAGGUCUACAGUGACCAUAGAUGGGCGCACAUUUGAAAGUCCUCAAGACUAUCACACAACAAAGGAGGCAGAAUUUGCUGCUGCAAGAGUGGCUUUAAUGUCAUUAUCUCAAGAAGCAAACCCAUCAGAGCAAAUGCUGGUUGGUUGCACCUAUUUUUAUUCUUAUGGAUAGCUUUAAUUUGCCCCAACUCACCUAUGCAUCAGCAUUAACAUCCUUCAGCAUUUAUCUGUAUUAUUAGUAAACAUGUUCUCCCAUUUUACAAUAUUCAAGAACUGAGUAAAAACUGAAUUGAAAUCAUUGACUUCGUUUACAUUAUGCAGAAACAUUGUCAGUUUUCGUCUGACAAACUACUCUACCUUUUGUAGGUUGGAUCAGCUUCAUGUAUUUCUUUGCCAGGAAUCCAGAUUAAUCAUAAGCUUCAAUUGCAAAUUUAUGCUCAGAAGAGAGGAAAACAGCUGCCUAAGUAUCGCCGUACCCAGGAAGGUCCAUCUCAUGCACCUCUGUUCAAGUCAACAGUGACCAUAGAUGGGCAAACAUUUGAAAGCCCACAGUAUUGUCAGACAAUUAAGGAGUCCGAAAAUGCUGCUGCAAAUCUUGCUCUGAUGUCCUUAACUCAAGAAGUAAGCUCAGAGGAGCAAUUGCCAGUUGGUCCAGUAUUUUAUUUAUAGAUAAUUUUCUUACCAUCGCCUCACCUAUUUAUGAUAACUAAUCUAAUCACC
rnacentral:lncRNA from 1 species